GGAAUUAUAGGUUAAAAAUAAAACCAUUGGCCUUCAAAGCCGAAAAUGAGUAUUCUAGUUUCG
rnacentral:tRNA from 1 species